rnacentral:rRNA from 1 species
GGCCAGACUCUACGGGAGGCAGCAGUGGGGAAUAUUGGGCAAUGGGCGCAAGCCUGACCCAGCAACGCCGCGUGAAGGAAGAAGGCUUUCGGGUUGUAAACUUCUUUUAAGAGGGAAGAGCAGAAGACGGUACCUCUUGAAUAAGCCACGGCUAACUACGUGCCAGCAGCCGCGGUAAUACGUAGGUGGCGAGCGUUGUCCGGAUUUACUGGGUGUAAAGGGCGUGCAGCCGGGCUUACAAGUCAGAUGUGAAAUCCUGCGGCUCAACCGCAGAACUGCAUUUGAAACUGUAGGUCUUGAGUACUGGAGAGGCAGACGGAAUUCCUAGUGUAGCGGUGAAAUGCGUAGAUAUUAGGAGGAACACCAGUGGCGAAGGCGUCUUACUGGACCGAAACUGACGUUGAGGCUCGAAAGCGUGGGGAGCAAACAGGAUUAGAUACCCGAGUAAAU